rnacentral:rRNA from 1 species
UACGAAGGGGGCUAGCGUUGCUCGGAAUCACUGGGCGUAAAGGGUGCGUAGGCGGGUCUUUUAAGUCAGGGGUGAAAUCCUGGAGCUCAACUCCAGAACUGCCUUUGAUACUGAAGAUCUUGAGUUCGGGAGAGGCGAGUGGAACUGCGAGUGUAGAGGUGAAAUUCGUAGAUAUUCGCAAGAACACCAGUGGCGAAGGCGGCUCACUGGCCCGAUACUGACGCUGAGGCACGAAAGCGUGGGGAGCAAACAGG